rnacentral:rRNA from 1 species
UACCAGCGCCCCGAGUGUUCGGGACAUUUAUUGGGCCUAAAGCAUCCGUAGCCGGUUCUACAAGUCUUCCGUUAGAUCCAACUGCUUAACAGGUGGGCUGCGGAAGAUACUAUAGAGCUAGGAGGCGGGAGAGGCAAGCGGUACUCGAUGGGUAGGGGUAAAAUCCGUUGAUCCAUUGAAGACCACCAGUGGCGAAGGCGGCUUGCCAGAACGCGCUCGACGGUGAGGGAUGAAAGCUGGGGGAGCAAACAGG